CGACGACAUUUGUUGGUGAGAACUUGGAAAAUUUUAAUUUAUUUCUCAUAUUAUGGACAAUUAAUUUUUUUUAAGGUGAUGAUUUCUAUAUCUUUACAGAAGUGGAAAUGCAGGGGAUUGAAGUGGAAGUCUUCUCUAUUUCACGCUCUAUCCAUCGAAAAUAGAGACGCAUAGAGACACAUUUUCCUAGGUAAAUUUGAGUUUUCAGCCCUGAUUUCUAAUUUUUUUUAUUGUAAAUGUAAAUUUCUACGAUUUAAGAUGUGUGAAUCAAUUGUUGAAGAUUGUUCAAUAUUUUGUAUUUUUUUGGAAGCUUCAGUAUUUUGUAGUGUUUUUUUUUUUUUUUAGGAACAGUAUUUUGUAGUUUUAAGUAUUCAUAUCCUCACACUUUUGACGUCGUUGGCGUUGCCGCUCCACCCAAUUUUGUCAAGCACGUUACCGAGUCACAUAACCUCGUCGCCACCACUGUAACAGUCCAGUGCCUAAAAGAGCAGUUUAACCGUCACUAUCGGCCGGAAUAACCACCCUUGCCUUUGUCUCACCGAACAACCCAGCAACCACCAUCACCUUUUCCUUUUUCUUUUUUUCCCUUUAAUUUCUUAGUUAUGCUAAAUAUAGGGCUAUGCAUGUUUGUAUAUUGGUGAAUUUUAGAGGAGUGUAUAUUGGUGAAUUUUAGAGAAGGUUUUAGAUAUAUUCUUCAACAAAUGCUAGAUUAAAUUGUUUCGUGUACAUCGCCAAUAACAUAUAACCACAUAUCUUUGUAGUUUCAUGUCAUGUUAAUCAAAUCAUUCAUUUAGACGUUUAUAGUGGUAUGAUUCUUUUUAGAUAAUCAAUCAUUAUGCCUUUGUAGAUAUUAUUUAUUUCCAAGAUUCAAUUUCUAAAGUUCAAAACCUAUUCUUUUGAAGUUGAUGCUACUAUAUAUGUGAGAAAUUGAUUUGAAGGCGGAUGAGGAGAAGAAUAUGGGGUUACUCUCAAAUUUGGCUUAUGCUUUGACAAUGGACUAUAUUUUUGCAAAGGAGCUCUUAUGGAAAUAAAGGCUGAGCAACCAAGAAAGCCUAGAGCAGAUCUGUUAGUUUCUCAAUGAUAACUGUUUAGUGCUCAACGAUUUCAACUUUAGAGAUGAGUUGCUUCUCCUUUUAUGAAUUAUGUUUGUAGACCACAUAGAACCACUAUUAUACAGGGAGAAAUGUUGUUGUUUUGUAUUGAUUAUUGCUUAGUUGGUGCUUAAUUUAUAGAAAAGGCUAUGCAUUUGUUUUUCUCUUUAAAAUUUUGAAAUAAAACAAUCAAAGAUUUAUAUAUUACAUAUUUCUCGCGUCUUCUCUCUUUCAGCUUGCCUUC
rnacentral:lncRNA from 1 species